GCUGUGAUGGCUGAGAGGUUAAGGUGUUGGACUUGAAAUCCAAUGGGGUUCCCCAUGCAGGUUCGAAUCUUGCUCAUAGCG